AGGAUGAACGCUGGCGGCGUGCCUAACACAUGCAAGUCGAACGUCCUGUCUCGCAAGAGGCAGGGAGUGGCGGACGGGUGAGUACCACGUGGGUUAUCUACCGUGAGGUGAGGAAUACCGGCGAGAAAUCGCCGACAAGACCGCAUAGGCUCGAUGCAAGUCGAGCAAAGCUCUUUCGAGAGAGGGAGCGCCACACGAGGAGCCUGCGCCCGAUUAGCUAGCUGGUGGAGUAACGGUUCACCAGGGCGACGAUCGGUAGCUGGUCUGAGAGGACGAUCAGCCACACUGGGAUUGAGAACGGCCCAGACUCCUACGGGGGGCAGCAGUGAGGAAUUUUCGUCAAUGGGGGCAACCCUGAACGAGCAACGCCGCGUGCAGGAAGAAGGUUUUCGGAUCGUAAACUGCUUUUCUCGGGGAAGAGAAUGGACGGUACCCGAGGAAUCAGCCCCGGCUAACUACGUGCCAGCAGCCGC
rnacentral:rRNA from 1 species